GUAAACAACUCUUCCGAAGCAAUAGUGCAUUGUCGCUUUCAUUGAGUUGUUUACUCGAUGCUAUUGUUACUCUGUUUAUUGUCAGCUCUCAAGCGGUUAUACGGUUAGGCACAAGAUUGAUACUGAUUCUUGAUAUUUUAGAGUAUUUAAGAUGGAUAACGUCGAAGAAAACGGAAAAUCUUCAUUGGAUCAACCUAAAGUAUUUUCUGAAGAAAAGGAAAAACGUGAAACCAAGGAAACGAUAAGGAGAUGGUGGAAAGACAGUUAUUUAAUAGAAUUUUUUUUGAAUGUGUGGCCUUGUUUGUGUUUGUUUGUGUUUCUUUAUUUAUGUGUGCCUGAGCAUGUGUUUGUAUUUGAGGGUUUGCGUGUGUGUGUAUGUGUGAUUGUUUGUUUGCUUAUUUUAUUUUGCAUGUUUGAUUGUUUCUGUGGAAGUGAGUGUGACCACGGGUGAGCCCCGGUAAUUAUGAAUGCAAUUGGUCAAUUAUAGCUACAAUUAAGACUCGAUAGAAUGGCGAUGAAAUGGACCUUACACACACCUAAUGCAAAGGAAAAAGAAAUUAUAAAAACACACCGAUUUGAACAUACCACAAGUUCUCAACGAAAUAGACCAGAGCUAAAAAUUGCUGAUGAUUAGCGACAAUCUGUGCCACUAUACGCAAGAUCCACACAAAGUAUAACUCAACGGGCAAUCUGAAAACACGGAAGGCGCAGAACGAGCUACGUACUUCACGAUAUGUCGCCGCCAAAGACGAACGCAGUCCUCUGAAGGGAACAGUAAAAGAGCUAGAUUUGAAAAUGCAGUUCACUCAAGAAACCCAAGGGUAGAACAAUAUUCAUUUAGAAGAGGAACAUUCUAGAAUUUUUCCUUCCACUUUAGCAGAAACUUUCUAGAUUUAUCACCGAAAAAAAUAACAAGAGAGAUGAAGUUCUGGAUCUACAGCUUUAAAAAACUACCGAAACGUCUUAAAUGUUCGAGGAAAUCAGAAUAGAGAUCAUAAUCUUAGAUGAUCAGCUACUAGCUUUCGCAAAUGAAGGACGAAAUGACAAUUUAUAAAGAAGCUAGAAAUCAAUAGCAAACUACUAUAAUUAGUCAGAUUGCAGAAAACCGCAGUCUAAAAGCCGAAGUGCAGGACCUGGAGUGGAAGCUCGAUGUAGACUACGCUGCCAUGAUUAAGGAGCAAUUUGCAGGCAUGAAGGAGCAGUUGCUGGGUCAAACAAUGGACAUUCAGUUUCAUUACGUCAGUGUGAACAACGACUGUCUUCAAUUGCGAGACGAAAUCAGCAUUUACGAAGGAGCCAAACGUCAGUUGGAACAUGAAGUUUAAAACCAGGUAGAAAAGCUCGCUGAUCACAGUCAAAGCUUAAUUUCCGAGUUCCGAUUUACGUGCCUUCGAAAAGGAAAUCAGACAACGUACUGAUAACUUUGAACAGCCAAUUUGAUUUGAUAUAGAUCUCGUGGAGAACACGUUCAGUUGUGUAAAUCGUGAGCUGCAGGUUCUGGUCCAUAAGAUUUCAUACGAAGAGUACAUUUAGCUACUUGCGAUUUGGAAGAACGGCUUGGCAUGUUAUCUUCAGUUUUGACCGUGAAACACCGACGAGGCAGGAAGUGGCUGAAUUUUUAUAACGUCAGAAAACUAUUUCAGUAUAAUCUCUCCUCGCCCACUUUGCUAAGGGAAAGGAAAUAUACGAUGAAUGUUUAAUGGCGUUAGUCGAUGUGAUAAGUGUUGGAAACAGCCUUUCUACCGGUGAGAAAGA